rnacentral:rRNA from 1 species
GACGAAGGUGGCAAGCGUUGUUCGGUAUCACUGGGCUUAAAGAGUGUGUAGGCGGAGAUGUAAGCGUCGUGUGAAAGUCCUCGGCUUAACCGAGGAAUUGCUCGACGAACUACUUCUCUUGAGGCAAGUAGGGGUGCACGGAACUCUUGGUGGAGCGGUGGAAUGCGUAGAUAUCAAGAGGAACGCCAGUGGUGAAAACGGUGCACUGGGCUUGUUCUGACGCUGAGACACGAAAGCGUGGGUAGCGAACGGGAUUAGAUACCCCUGUA